rnacentral:rRNA from 1 species
CAUACCAUGCUGAAUAUACCGGUUCUCGUUAGAUCACCGAAGUCAAGCAUCAUUGGGCGCGGUCAGUACUUGGGUGGGUGACCACAUGGGAACACCGCGUGCCGUU